GACGUAGGAGGCGAGCGUUGUCCGGAUUCAUUGGGCGUAAAGAGCACGUAGGCGGUUUGUCGCGUCGACUGUGAAAACCCGAGGCUUAACCUCGGGCCUGCAGUCGAUACGGGCAGACUAGAGUUCGGUAGGGGAGACUGGAAUUCCUGGUGUAGCGGUGAAAUGCGCAGAUAUCAGGAGGAACACCGGUGGCGAAGGCGGGUCUCUGGGCCGAUACUGACGCUGAGGAGCGAAAGCGUGGGGAGCGAACAGG
rnacentral:rRNA from 1 species